rnacentral:rRNA from 1 species
UACGUAGGGUGCGAGCGUUGUCCGGAAUUACUGGGCGUAAAGAGCUCGUAGGUGGUUUGUCGAGUCGUCUGUAAAAUUCCGGGGCUUAACUCCGGGCGUGCAGGCGAUACGGGCAUAACUUGAGUACUGUAGGGGAGACUGGAGUUCCUGGUGUAGCGGUGAAAUGCGCAGAUAUCAGGAGGAACACCGAUGGCGAAGGCAGGUCUCUGGGCAGUUACUGACGCUGAGGAGCGGAAGCGUGGGUAGCGAACAGG